rnacentral:rRNA from 1 species
CAAGCUUUUAAGAGCAGAUGGCGGAUGCCUUGCCAAAGAGAGGCGAUGAAGGACGUACUAGACUGCGAUAAGCUAUGCGGAGCUGUCAAGGAGCUUUGAUGCGUAGAUGUCCGAAUGGGGCAACCCAACUAAUAGAGAUAUUAGUUACUCUUUAAUAGAGAGCGAACCUAGUGAAGUGAAACAUCUCAGUAACUAGAGGAAAAGAAAUCAACGAGAUUCCCUAAGUAGUGGCGAGCGAACGGGGAAAAGGGCAAACCGAGUGCUUGCAUUCGGGGUUGAGGACUGCAACAUCCAAGAGAACGCUUUAGCAGAGUUACCUGGAAAGGUAAGCCAUAGAAAGUGAUAGCCUUGUAUGCGACAAGGCGUUUUUAGGUAGCAGUAUCCAGAGUAGGCCAGGACACGAGAAAUCCAGGUUGAAGCCGGGGAGACCACUCUCCAACCCUAAAUACUACUCUUUGAGCGAUAGCGAACAAGUACCGUGAGGGAAAGGUGAAAAGAACCGCAGUGAGCGGAGUGAAAUAGAACCUGAAACCAUCUGCUUACAAUCAUUCAGAGCCCUAUGAUUUAUCAGGGUGAUGGACUGCCUUUUGCAUAAUGAUCCUGCGAGUUGUGGUAUCUGGCAAGGUUAAGCGAAUGCGAAGCCGUAGCGAAAGCGAGUCUUAAUAGGGCGAACAAGUCAGAUGCUGCAGACCCGAAGCUAAGUGAUCUAUCCAUGGCCAAGUUGAAACGCGUGUAAUAGCGCGUGGAGGACUGAACUCGUACCCAUUGAAACGGGUUGGGAUGAGCUGUGGAUAGGGGUGAAAGGCCAAACAAACUUAGUGAUAGCUGGUUCUCUUCGAAAUAUAUUUAGGUAUAGCCUCAAGUGAUAAUAAAAGGGGGUAGAGCCCUGAUUGGGCUAGGGCUGCUCGCCGCGGUACCAAACCCUAUCAAACUUCGAAUACCUUUUAUCGUAUCUUGGGAGUCAGGCGGUGGGUGAUAAAAUCAAUCGUCAAAAGGGGAACAACCCAGACUACCAAAUAAGGUCCCUAAGUUCUAUUCUGAGUGGAAAAAGAUGUGUGGCUACUCAAACAACCAGGAGGUUGGCUUAGAAGCAGCCAUCCUUUAAAGAAAGCGUAACAGCUCACUGGUCUAGUGGUCAUGCGCUGAAAAUAUAACGGGGCUAAGAUAGACACCGAAUUUGUAGAUUGUGUUUGACACAGUGGUAGAAGAGCGUUCAUACCAGCGUUGAAGGUAUACCGGUAAGGAGUGCUGGAGCGGUAUGAAGUGAGCAUGCAGGAAUGAGUAACGAUAAGAUAUAUGAGAAUUGUAUCCGCCGUAAAUCUAAGGUUUCCUACGCGAUGGUCGUCAUCGUAGGGUUAGUCGGGUCCUAAGCCGAGUCCGAAAGGGGUAGGUGAUGGCAAAUUGGUUAAUAUUCCAAUACCGACUUAUGGAGCGUGAUGGGGGGACGCAUAGGGUUAAGCGAGCUAGCUGAUGGAAGCGCUAGUCUAAGGGCGUAGAUUGGAGGGAAGGCAAAUCCACCUCUGUAUUUGAAACCCAAACAGGCUCUUUGAGUCCUUUUAGGACAAAGGGAGAAUCGCUGAUACCGUCGUGCCAAGAAAAGCCUCUAAGCAUAUCCAUAGUCGUCCGUACCGCAAACCGACACAGGUAGAUGAGAUGAGUAUUCUAAGGCGCGUGAAAGAACUCUGGUUAAGGAACUCUGCAAACUAGCACCGUAAGUUCGCGAUAAGGUGUGCCACAGCGAUGUGGUCUCAGCAAAGAGUCCCUCCCGACUGUUUACCAAAAACACAGCACUUUGCCAACUCGUAAGAGGAAGUAUAAGGUGUGACGCCUGCCCGGUGCUCGAAGGUUAAGAGGAUGCGUCAGUCGCAAGAUGAAGCGUUGAAUUGAAGCCCGAGUAAACGGCGGCCGUAACUAUAACGGUCCUAAGGUAGCGAAAUUCCUUGUCGGUUAAAUACCGACCUGCAUGAAUGGCGUAACGAGAUGGGAGCUGUCUCAACCAGAGAUUCAGUGAAAUUGUAGUGGAGGUGAAAAUUCCUCCUACCCGCGGCAAGACGGAAAGACCCCGUGGACCUUUACUACAACUUAGCACUGCUAAUGGGAAUAUCAUGCGCAGGAUAGGUGGGAGGCUUUGAAGUAAGGGCUUUGGCUCUUAUGGAGCCAUCCUUGAGAUACCACCCUUGAUGUUUCUGUUAGCUAACUGGCCUGUGUUAUCCACAGGCAGGACAAUGCUUGGUGGGUAGUUUGACUGGGGCGGUCGCCUCCUAAAAAGUAACGGAGGCUUGCAAAGGUUGGCUCAUUGCGGUUGGAAAUCGCAAGUUGAGUGUAAUGGCACAAGCCAGCCUGACUGUAAGACAUACAAGUCAAGCAGAGACGAAAGUCGGUCAUAGUGAUCCGGUGGUUCUGUGUGGAAGGGCCAUCGCUCAAAGGAUAAAAGGUACCCCGGGGAUAACAGGCUGAUCUCCCCAAGAGCUCACAUCGACGGGGAGGUUUGGCACCUCGAUGUCGGCUCAUCGCAUCCUGGGGCUGGAGCAGGUCCCAAGGGUAUGGCUGUUCGCCAUUUAAAGCGGUACGCGAGCUGGGUUCAGAACGUCGUGAGACAGUUCGGUCCCUAUCUGCCGUGGGCGUAGGAAAGUUGAGGAGAGCUGUCCCUAGUACGAGAGGACCGGGAUGGACGUGUCACUGGUGCACCAGUUGUUCUGCCAAGAGCAUCGCUGGGUAGCUACACACGGAUGUGAUAACUGCUGAAAGCAUCUAAGCAGGAAGCCAACUCCAAGAUAAACUUUCCCUGAAGCUCGCACAAAGACUAUGUGCUUGAUAGGGUAGAUGUGUAAGCGCAGUAAUGCGUUUAGCUGACUACUACUAAUAGAGCGUUUGGCUUGUUUU